rnacentral:ncRNA from 2 species
UCUCCCAACCCUUGUACCAGU